UACGUAGGGUGCGAGCGUUGUCCGGAAUUAUUGGGCGUAAAGGGCUCGUAGGCGGUUUGUCGCGUCGGGAGUGAAAACCUCGGGCUUAACUCGGGGCUUGCUUUCGAUACGGGCAGACUAGAGGUAUGCAGGGGAGAACGGAAUUCCUGGUGUAGCGGUGAAAUGCGCAGAUAUCAGGAAGAACACCCGUGGCUAAGGCGGCUCUCUAGUACGGUACUGACGCUGAGACGCGAAAGCGUGGGGAGCAAACAGG
rnacentral:rRNA from 1 species